rnacentral:rRNA from 1 species
AGACGGGAGAGGCAAGCGUUGUUCGGAAUCACUGGGCUUAAAGCGCGUGUAGGCGGUCGUGCAAGUAUCUUGUGAAAGCCCUCGGCUCAACCGAGGAAUGGCAAGGUAUACUGCUCGGCUUGAGGCGGGUAGGGGUGCCUGGAACUCUAGGUGGAGCGGUGAAAUGCGUUGAUAUCUAGAGGAACGCCAGUGGCGAAAGCGGGGCACUGGGCCCGUCCUGACGCUGAGACGCGAAAGCGUAGGUAGCGAACGGGAUUAGAAACCCCAGUAGUCC